GUAGUUCUCCAGGGAGUCACUUCAAAUUUCAGCUUACAUAGCCAUCUUCAACAAAUAAAGCCAAAAGAAACAAGGCAACAAAUUGAAGAGAGACUUACAUGUUGAGUUUUUGUUCCCAGCUGGUGGCAUGUUCUGAGUGGUUGUGGAAAGUGUAGGAGGUGGGACCCCACUGGAGGACAUAGGCCUCUGUGGGGUAUAUAUUUGAAGGCUGGACCUCGUUUGUUCAUCAUGGAUGGAGCUGUUCUGCUUUAGCUUCCUCAGCCUGCUGGACAAAUCUUCUGAAACCACUAGCUGGGAGGAAUCUUUCAUCCCUGGCUAAUGGCUCUGUACGAGACAUGCACAUUCAUCUACCCACAACAUCUGUGCAGAACAUGGAAUAGCGUAUCUCUGGGUCUGUAAUUGCUUGCCACCCUGAGCUGAGGAAAAUGAACUCCUGAUAUUUGGGAAGAAACAGACAUUGUUUCUUUAUAAAGUGAUGGGGAUCCUUGUUGUUUAGUGCUAUAAACUAUUUUGUAGACAAAGAGAGAAGAAAAGCUAUGUCUCUUACUGUUAGGAUAUCUAAGGAAACAGAGCCAUUGUUUUCCCAAACUGUAUUUGGUGCAUAAAGCAUGCUUUCAAGAAAAGGUUUCAGUUUCAAGUUUAUAAACCUUCAGAAUGGCUUUUAAAACCUCAUGUGCUAGUAGUUACAAAAUACUAGGGUUUUCAACAUUUUUAUUGUCUACAAAGGAGAGGACAAACAGGCUUCAUUAUCACUCUGUCCAUGGGGAAAAUUAUCCUGUGCUGCAAUAAUCAAGUCCUCAAUCAGUGGAGAACUUUGAGGACCUUGAAACUUAAAACACCCUGAAUGCAAGCUCUUCCUGGUAUUUUGAGAUAGCUCCCUCUUUGUCCUUGACAGCCACGCUCCCUCUCCAGGCAGUACAUGAAGUUGGUUCCCUUUGUAUGGCUCCACAUCAGCCUUGCUGGGACCCUAGAGGAAAUACUCAUUUCUUUUCUUUGUGACCGGGAAAAUAAAAUGGUAGUAACCUCAGAUCAAGUGCUUCUUUUGGUUCUGCUUCUGAAAAUUACAAUUGGUCAGUGUGAUGAUGCCAUCUUGUUUCUGGACUUUUCAUGGUACCUAUUCCUUUACAAAAACGAAUGCCUCCAGUAAAAACAAAACGUAGCUGGCAUAAUGUGUAGAGCCAGGUUGUACAGGUAUCAGCCAGAGUAUGUUAUUAGCUGAUUUGGAUUCUUCAAUAGGAAAGCACAUUCAAUAAUAUAUUAAUAGGCAUUUUUUGGCAUGUACUUAUUUUUAGUAUUUUGUGUAGAGACAAAAAAUACCAUGCCUUGU